rnacentral:rRNA from 1 species
UGGGGAAUAUUGGACAAUGGGCGCAAGCCUGAUCCAGCAAUGCCGCGUGAGUGAUGAAGGCCUUAGGGUUGUAAAGCUCUUUCGCACGCGACGAUGAUGACGGUAGCGUGAGAAGAAGCCCCGGCUAACUUCGUGCCAGCAGCCGCGGUAAUACGAAGGGGGCUAGCGUUGUUCGGAAUUACUGGGCGUAAAGGGCGCGUAGGCGGCCUGUUUAGUCAGAAGUGAAAGCCCCGGGCUCAACCUGGGAAUAGCUUUUGAUACUGGCAGGCUUGAGUUCCGGAGAGGAUGGUGGAAUUCCCAGUGUAGAGGUGAAAUUCGUAGAUAUUGGGAAGAACACCGGUGGCGAAGGCGGCCAUCUGGACGGACACUGACGCUGAGGCGCGAAAGCGUGGGGAGCAAACAGGAUUAGAUACCCUGGUAGUCCACGCCCGUAAACGAUGAAUGCUAGACGUCGGGGUGCAUGCACUUCGGUGUCGCCGCUAACGCA